GUGUCAGCAGCCGCGGUAAUACGUAGGGUGCGAGCGUUAAUCGGAAUUACUGGGCGUAAAGCGUGCGCAGGCGGUAAGUCAAGUCUGAUGUGAAAGCCCCGGGCUCAACCUGGGAAUGGCAUUGGAAACUGGCUUGCUAGAGUGUGGCAGAGGGGGGUGGAAUUCCGCGUGUAGCAGUGAAAUGCGUAGAUAUGCGGAGGAACACCGGUGGCGAAGGCGCUGCUCUGGGCCGGUACUGACGCUGAGGAGCGAAAGCGUGGGUAGCAAACAGGAUUAGAUACCCUGGUAGUCCACGCCGUAAACGAUGGGCACUAGGUGUGGGAGGUGUCGACUCCUCCCGUGCCGUCGCUAACGCACUAAGUGCCCCGCCUGGGGAGUACGGCCGCAAGGCUAAAACUCAAAGGAAUUGACGG
rnacentral:rRNA from 1 species